rnacentral:tRNA from 1 species
AAAAUUAGUUAAUUUAAUAACACAGGCUUGUCAAGCCUGAAUAAUCAUGUCUUGAUAUUUUA